rnacentral:rRNA from 1 species
CCUACGGGGUGCUGCAGUAACGAAUCUUCCGCAAUGCACGCAAGUGUGACGGAGCGACGCCGCGUGUGGGACGAAGCCCUUCGGGGUGUAAACCACUGUCAGGGGUAGGAUCCACCCCAGAGGAAGGCACGGCUAACUCUGUGCCAGCAGCCGCGGUAAGACAGAGGUGCCGAGCGUUAGGGGGAAUCACUGGGCUUAAAGCGUGUGUAGGCGGCCCGUUAAGUGUCUUGUGAAAUCCCGCGGCUCAACCGCGGAACGGCUGGGCAUACUGACGGGCUUGAGCGAUCUAGGGGCAGAUGGAACAAGUGGUGGAGCGGUGAAAUGCGUAGAUAUCACUUGGAACGCCAAAGGUGAAGACAGUCUGCUGGGGAUCGCUGACGCUGAGACACGAAAGCCAGGGGAGCGAACGGGAUUAGAUACCCCGGUAGUC